UUCAACUCCUCCUUUUAUGUUUCCAUCUUCAACACCACGAACCGAAAUACUUAUUUGAAACUUUAGGGUAUUUUUUGUGAACCAUUUUCGGUGAUGACCAUGGCUAAGUAGCAAGAUUCAAAUCGAUUGACUGGUGAUGGCGCUGAGAUAUGGUAUUUCUUCUUUUUUAUUAUCGUUUAUUUCCUCAAGUUGAAUAUAGAGUUGUUGCAAAGGAAUUUGAGACAGGUAUGUUAGGGUUUGAGAUUUUAUUGUCUGUUACCAAUAAAAUAAUCUGUUCAAUCGGUAACCGUACCGAUAUGUUUCGUCGGUUAUGUAUUUUGAGUUAAUUAAAAGCUGAUUUCGUGGUUAAUCUUAUCUAUUUUGAGAUUUUUUCUUUCCAUUGUCAAAUUUGAAACUCAUACUGGAUUUUUUUGCUCUGCUAGCUGGUGGACUGUGUGUAAGCUACUCACCAUUUUUUAGGGUUGAUUUCCCUUUUAAACAGGCCUUUGAAUUACUUACAGUUCCCAUUGAUGAAUGCUCAUACGAUCACCUGUCUUUAUUUAUUCUCCGCAGUACAGAUGGCUUUUGAAAAUUCAUUCUAUAGCCUAGCUCCCCAUGUUGUACAGGUAUGAGCUGUAGUUUCUAUAAUUUGUCCAGUCAUUUCAGAAUUUGAAUCAAUAUAUUAUGUUCCUUCAGUGCGAUAUAAUAGUCAAUAUUCACAUUUUCCUUUCCCAUUCCUUAUUACCAAGUGAUUUGUUGGUUAUGACAGUGGGUGUUGAGCGCAUAUAACACACAAAUACAUUCUGAUGGUCUUCUUAGCUGUUAUCUCUUUGCUAUUUGAUGGGUUCUUUGUUUUACUGUGACUUUAUCUACUCACAUUUAACACAUUAAGGAAAACUCCACCAAUGUGGUUUGUGGGGACUUGAACAACUUUGUUUUUCAUCUGACCCUGUGUGUAAGCUACUCAUGAUCCUAUGGUGGUAUCAACAAAAUUUAACUCCAGUGGUAUGACAUAUUGUGAUUGCUGUUUUUCUGUGUGGCAGAGAUUCAAGUGGAAAGACUACAUUAGUUGUGGAUAGCUACUGUGGACAAUGAAUCAACCAUUUGCUAGGGUCCCGUAAAGAGGGAAUAGUGCAGGCCAAAGUGGCUCUUCGACAAACACGGGUCUGUUUGAUGUUUGCACCUAUCAUACAAACAUUUCUCUCUGUCAUCUAAGGUCCAGACUUUUGGGAGUCUUGAGCUAUAUAUUUGCUACUAUGUGUGGGGAGACUUUAAACUAAGGCAUAACAGUUGUCGCCAAAGUGCCAUCUACAAUUCUUUUUAUUUCACUCUAGGAGUUCUCCCAUACUGGUGUCGGGUGCUUCAGGGAUUACCGUAAAUUCUUGGCUUAACAAAUUUACUAAAGUAAAGCUGGAUUUCCAGAAUGCAAGUUCAACUUCAUAGGCUUCAAAGCGCAUCGAACAAAGUGCACGGCACCAGGUUCUAUAUAAUUGCAAUGGGAAAGUUGAAGGGUCUCCGAUGUUACCAUGGUAGCGUUUAAUAGCCUAGACAGGACUGGCCAACGAAAAGCAAGUUUUUGCACCUGAUGACAAUGAAUCAAUGAUACUCAAACAUAAUACGAAAUUAUUUUAAGGAUAUUUAUCUUGAUAAUAUUAUUAUUCAAGUUGUAAUGGUGAUUGUACUUUUGCUAUGUGUUAGCAUCAUUUUAAGGCUAACAUUUUUCUUUCA